rnacentral:rRNA from 1 species
GACGAACGCUGGCGGCGUGCUUAACACAUGCAAGUCGAACGAUGAAGCUGGAGCUUGCUCUGGCGGAUUAGUGGCGAACGGGUGAGUAACACGUGAGAAAUCUGCCCUUGACUCUGGGAUAACUGCGGGAAACUGUAGCUAAUACCGGAUACUUUCCCUGGUGGGCAUCCACUGGGGAAGAAAGAAUUUCGGUCAAGGAUGAUCUCGCGGCCUAUCAGCUUGUUGGUGAGGUAAUGGCUCACCAAGGCGACGACGGGUAGCCUGCCUGAGAGGGUGACCGGCCACACUGGGACUGAGGCACGGCCCAGACUCCUACGGGAGGCAGCAGUGGGGAAUAUUGCACAAUGGGCGCAAGCCUGAUGCAGCAACGCCGCGUGAGGGAUGAAGGCCUUCGGGUUGUAAACCUCUUUUAGCAGGGAAGAAGCGAAAGUGACGGUACCUGCAGAAAAAGCACCGGCUAACUACGUGCCAGCCGCCGCAGUAA